rnacentral:lncRNA from 1 species
CUCACCCAGUGAGGAUGCAUUCCCAGUCACACCAGCUUGCUGUAACAGAAGAAAAAUAAGAAGGGAAAAUAAAUGUUUCCUAAUUAGAACACAGCAAAAAGGGAAACAUUCUUUCAUUUCCUGUUGAACAGUGAACUCAGCCUUGGGAAGCAGAACAGCAAUAUGUAAUUCCUCUUUCCAGCAAGCAGAUUACUGUCUCCCGCCCAUUUACUGAUAGCAUUGGCACCUAGAAUCCCAUGUUACAAGCUACGGUUGAACUUCUCUUACUUUUGCUUCCUGGUAUUAGACUGAUUUUUGCUUUUGUCAGCCAGAACCAACACGCCAAUCUCCCCAUGGGACAUGUGCAAGGGCCUAUAGGCAGGAUUCAAAUUAUCCCUGAACCUUCUCUUUGAGCUAGAUAUACUGAACAUAUAAUUACUGUGUUCUAGUUUAUUUAUCACUUUUAUGGUCAUCUUCAAUGGUUUUUACUAUGUCCAUACCCUCCUUGAAGUGUGGGUGCCAGAACUGGACACUGCAUACAAUUCUAUUUGUAAUCCUACCAACACUGUAUCAAGAAUAAAAUUUUUCUGUUUCAGUUAAACUUUUUUCUU